rnacentral:lncRNA from 1 species
GAUAAGCUAUCUCAGAAUGUAGAACUCAGAUGGGCCUUCCAAUCCUAUGGAUCUUAGCUGCCCGGGAUAUGAGUUAUGCUUUUCCCGUUUUUGUUGGAAAGUACCUUUCACUUUCAUUGGCAUGCAGGAUUCACUUCACAGUCAAUUUUUUUCUUCUUGACAGAAAGCAUUCCAUCCUUCCCUUCCUUCAUUGAUUGAUUCUACACCGACUGGAAUUGGAAUGACCUGGCUACGACCGAUGGGAUUGGUUCGCUGGCAAAGCUCUCUUACCGGCUCUAAGAUGCCAACACCUGUUGUAUCUGAUAUAGCUCUAUCAUGCCUGCUUAUGAAUGUAAUUAUGUAAGAUGAAGCAUGGAAAGAACAACCUAUUCUUCCUCUUUUUUUUUCUGAGAUUGUUUUUUAUCCUUCCUUGCUCCCGUUGAGGGAUAGAACUCUCCCAAUGAAGUAGGUGAUACAUCCGAACAAGAAGAAUAUAAGCAGACUAAGACAGUGAUUCGGAUCUCACACCUUCCACCAGCCUGGUAAGAGGCUGACAGGGAAAAGAUGGUGGUUGAAGCAUAGAGCACAUUUCCUCUUUCAGAUAGACUUUUCUCUUUGCUAACUCGAUUGACUAGUUCACGAAGAAAGUCAUAGUAUAGAAAGGCGAGAAAGACCCAGCGCAAGGGAAAUGCAAUCCAAUCCCUCUCUGUUGGGGUUACGGCGCGAUGCCAGCCUUAAAUAGAAUAUCCCCCGUCCCUGCCUUUAGUGAUUAGUGAUUGGUCUCGCCCUUCCAGUAAGUAAAGGAUCUGUCUCUGGUUGUCUUCUGUGCCCCCUUUCGGGGUGAUAUCGGCCUUUUCACAGGGCAGGGGUGCCAUUGAUGGGGCCAAUCGCAUUCCCCUUCUCGUUCGGGCGCUACGUACCCUCACUAAGCUGUCUGGUUUGAUGCAACUAUUGAAACUGCUUUCCAAUCGCCAGGUAAGCAAGUUCCUUUUCU